CCGGUACAGAGUCAAUGUGGAGGCUAUAUACAGGGGGUGCCGGUACAGAGUCAAUGUGGAGACUAUAUACAGGGGGUACCGGUACAGAGUCAAUGUGGAGGCUAUAUACAGGGGGUACCGGUACAGAGUCAAUGUGGAGGCUAUAUACAGGGGGUACCGGUACAGAGUCAAUGUGGAGGCUAUAUACAGGGGGUACCGGUACAGAGUCAAUGUGGAGACUAUAUACAGGGGGUACCGGUACAGAGUCAAUGUGGAGGCUAUAUACAGGGGGUACCGGUACAGAGUCAAUGUGGAGGCUAUAUACAGGGGGUACCGGUACAGAGUCAAUGUGGAGACUAUAUACAGGGGGUACCGGUACAGAGUCAAUGUGGAGACUAUAUACAGGGGGUACCGGUACAGAGUCAAUGUGGAGACUAUAUACAGGGGGUACCGGUACAGAGUCAAUGUGGAGACUAUAUACAGGGUGUACCGGUACAGAGUCAAUGUGGAGGCUAUAUACAGGGUGUACCGGUACAGAGUCAAU
ensembl:lncRNA